AUGAAAAAUGAUAUACAUUCAAAAACUGGAGAAACUGUAUAAAUAUCAGAUAGAAUAGAUUUCAAGCCAAAGGAUAUUACCAGAGAUAAAGAGGGCUAUUUUACAAUGGUAGAAGGGCCAAUCCAUCAGGAAGUAAAAACAUAAGUAUGUAUGCAACUAAUAACAGUGCUUCAAACACAUGAAGCACACAUUGACAGAAUUAAAGGGAGACAUAGAAAAUACCAUAAUCAGAGAUGGAGAUUUCAUCAGUAAGGGUGGAGUUGUCUGAUUGCACAUCUGGGACAAACGGGUUUGGAAGGUCAUCCUCUAGUCCAGGGCCUGGCUGUGGGUUGUGGUGAGAAACUUCAAGGAAGGGAGUUAAGCAGCAGUUCAGCAACAAAGCCUGGACAGGUUCUUUGAGGAUGGAAUACUAAUGGUUCCAGGUGAUUUUUAUGGAGACCCUAUAGCUCAGGCCCCAGUUGAGGUGGGGAGGGAGUGGUUGAAGGUAUUGAAGCUCGUUCUGAAGAUAGUAGUAAUAAUGCCCGUGUGGCGAUGGUCAUUCUGUUCCAGAACAGGAUGCCAAGCAGUGGAGCAGAAAGCAGCAGCAGAAAGCCAAAACAAUCCUCACUGAUUUCAUUAUUAGCUGCUCAGAAUUCCUUUAUAAUAUACCUGAUGAUGUGGGCUCAGGUGUCAAAGAUUACAGCAAGAGCUAACCUUAUCCUUAAAUGUUACCAGGACUGAUGGGGUCUGGAGAAGCAAGAGGUCGCCCACUAGUUCUCCAGCUGAGUGUGCAUCAGAAUCUCCCGAUGGGCUUGUUAAAACAGAUUGCUGGGACCCAUGCCCAGAGUUUCUGAUUCAGCAGGUAUGAGGUGGGGUCUGCUGCUGCUGCUGUUGGUCUGGAGAUAUUCUUGGAGGACCACUAAGGUGAACAAAUGCCAAGGGGGCCCAGAAGAGGAAACAGGCCUUUGGCACAAUGAGUCAGUGUGGAAGGUCAUAGAUGGAGGCCAGGGUGAAGGGCCUUCCAGGUAGAGGAGAGUCUAGCAGAUGGUGCACUUCUGGGGCUGAACUGGAAUGUCCAUAUGAGGAGCAAAGCGGAAAAGCCUGGUAAGAUGGACCUAACUUAGCAGUGAAGAGCACAGUUUCAGAAAUCAGAUAUGCGAGUUUGAAUCCUGAUUCUGCUACUUAUUUUUUGCAUGACCUAAAGGAGGUUACCUAAUCUUUUGGGCCUUGUUUCCGCAAUCUGCAAAGUGGGGCUAAUGCUAAUGUCUACUCUCAGGAUUGUUAGUGAGGGAGUGCAUGUAAAUGCCUGACAUAGAGUCAGAGCUCGGUCAAUUAAUGCUAGGUUGUUGCUGCAUACAGGCUUGAGGAUUUGUACCAUGUGUGGGCUGAUGUUGACUGAAUCAGGCCUGGGCCGAAGCUAUGGCAAACUAGUCAGUAUUUUGUGAAACCCUUCCUGAAGGCACUGGUCUUUUGGCUCAAAGAGUUCCAGUCCUCCUGCUCAAGUCUGGUCACUUUCCUCAAAGUCAGGUUGUCCCCCACCACCAGCCCUGCUCUGUCCUUCCUGAGACCCUUGGCUACCAGGAGGGGUCUCGGAGGCAGCUCCACUGGGGGCCCAGGCAGAGGAGCUACAAGCCACCUAGCCUCUGAAUUUAUUCUCCUGGCUUUGAGUUAUCAGCUGGCAUCCAACAGAGCAAAUGGCAGCAGCUUUUGGAUUUCUUUUUUUAAAGUAAGAAGCGAAGGGAUUUAGUCCAUCUGCAUUAAGGAAAGGGAAUUCAUUCCUCCCCCCACCCCACCCUGUGUUCUGAGAUAAAAUGGUUCAUUUCCAUGAAAAUUGAAACUCAGAGAAGAAUCCUUGUUGCAGUGCCUCUUGGACUGUGAGCUAAGGGGGGUGGAGUGAUGUGGACAGGAUAGAGAACCGUGCCUUUCGCCAUCUUCUGUGGGCACUACAGAGGCCCCCGGUGCAUGGGCACUGGCUCCUAAGUGGCCCUUGUAUUGUUCUGAGCCUCUGUGCUGGUGGCUGUACAGGAAUAUAGGUGCUGGCUUAGAUUAGAAUGUUUCCAUAACCCUUUGGAAAUUGUAUUCAGCCUCCUGUUCCCCAUCUUCUGUGGGAACCAGCCUAUUACCUGGGCCACUAUCCCUCACCCCCAACCCCAUAUCAUUCAAGCUUGCUUUUCUGCUUCUGACCUAGCCACCACUUAGGCCUUUGCAUGCCUUGUGGCCACGUCCUUUCAGGGCCUUCCCGUGGAGAAUGGACAGGGACAGAGUGGGCAGGCACUGAUCCCAGCAACUAGAAUUUCCCAUGGCAGUCUCCUCACCCUGGGACUUGUCCACAACCAAUUCUCACCCCUCAGUAAGGGUGCCUGGCCCCCAGCACCAUCUCAGUUAAUCGCCAUCCCCACCCCCCUGCUUUCUGUCUUUGUGGUUUAAAUGGAGCUCAGGAUAAAGCCAAGCCUGGUCAUCUCGGGGAAGCAUUGUUCGUGGUUGGAAAUCAUGAGUAAAUUUUGAAAAAUAGUCAAAGAAAAUCCUGCUUAGGAAAGCAAGUUUCCCAGCAGGGGGAAAAAAAAGCCAACUGGCAAAGUCCAACAGGAAUAAUCAGAAAUAGUCUUUGGAUUAUUCACCUUUGGUAUCAUCCACCCCCUCCCCAUCCUUCCCUGAAGCAUGGGUAACCAAGAGAUACCCACAUUAAGGUGAUUGUCUAGGAAGAAUCAACUUGGACAUGAAGCCAAAUUCCUGAGCAGUUUCCCCUGCAAUCCAGAUUCCCUCACACUGCCUUCUCCAACUCCUUCUUCAUCCAAAUGCAGUUCACAUUAUGCAUCUGCUACCUGGGGGCUGUUGGCCCUGGCAGAUGUUUGCGGCAGAACCCUGGGACUGAUCCAAGGGUUAGACCUUCUGGGCCCUGCGUGGGGAGGUACAGCUUAAAGGUGUAGGUGGAUUUAUCUCAUCGGCCAAGUAUUGCCUGAGUGAGUGUCUGCGAGCACAAAAGGACAGUGAACUCCUCUCACUUAGCCUUGCAAAUCAGUCCCCCAACUUUCCCAGCCCAUGUGGGGGUAUUUUUCUCCCCUAGGACUCAGUAGAGAAUAAAUGAGGCAGCAGCUCAGGUGGGAGGUGGGGGACCUGGUUCUGAACUGGCUGAGUCAUCCCUCUGCUCUUCCCCCUUCUCCCCACCCUCUACCAUAGCUUUUGUUCAGCUCCAUCUUCCCUUGCCCCAGGGGACCAGCCUCCCUGCCUCCACUCUCCAUAGAGAAGCCUUCUUCAAAAGCAAAUCUGAGCAUGCGAAUGGCCUGGGACUUCCAAGGUACAACCAGGUACGGAGCUCUGUGGAGGCCUGGAAGGGAGAUGGUAAGGGAUGGCUCAGUCUGGGUUAGGCCCCUUUCUUAGUCUAGUGGGGCCAGGGGACUUUCUGUUUGCAAGUGUGAGUUGGUCCCUGCUGGUCCUGCUUCGGGAGACUCUUCUCCCUCAGAGAAUGUUACCACCAGGGGCAACACCUAGGCCCCGUGCUUCUUUGACCACCCUGGGGGAGGACAGUGCUCCUUUCUGAACCCCUCCAGUGCCCACUCUGCUCCACGGGACAUGGUCCCACAAGGAUGCCUGUGGAAUGACUCCGGGGCAUCUGGAAUGCAGCAGGGUCCGGGCAGCUUUGGCAGGGGGUGAAGGUAGAUCAUGUUUCUCUCACAAGUCCUCCAACUCCUUGGGACCCAGGAGUGGCAGGGCCUCUGAGAGUUGACAGGCUUAUUUUUAGUUUGGAUUCUAGCUCACCAGCCCAAUUGUUUUUCAGUUUUGCCUAAUUUGGGCCAGGUCUCGAUGGUGUCUCCUAGGACCCUGGUUUGGGCCGUUGAAGGUCUGCAGGACACGAGCUGUCAGGGCAGAGAAGUCCCGCCAGCUUCCCGUCCCUGGGCAUUGGCAGAAUACAGCCUACGCAGCCACCCUGGGGCCAGGACCAGCCGCUCCAGUUGGAGGAGGAAGGAACCUGGGGCCUCCCAGCACUGAGCCUUUGGUGAUUUGGGGUGGGAGGGGUGUAGACUUAACAUCCUGUUUAAAUUUGGCACUCUGUCGCAUUUUUAACAGGGGUUACGACCCGCCCUCCUCCCUUUCCCAGGCCUAUCCUUACAUAUUCCUCUAAUCAAUUUUUCACUUUUGGCUCUAAUUCUGCUCUUCACCUUGGAGCUUUGGGCCCAACUGAGGGAGGAACAGAGUGAUCAGUGUGAUGUCUUGAACGCUGCCUCUGAACAGAGCUGACCAUGGAGAGAGGCUGCCGGGAAGCCCAGCAUCAGCCGGGGGGACAGAAGAUAGGCAAGAGGAGAGGAGCGUCGAGAAGGGCGAUAAAGAGGAGAGGAGAGGAUGAGGAAACUGAGGCUUUAAACAUUACCUGACGUGUUCAUCGUCCUAGAACCAGUAAAAGGCAGAACCAGGAUUUCAGCUUUGGUUGUUUGGUCUUCAAAGCCCACAAUCCUUCCAUCGUCCCAUGCUCCACAUGACACAAAUGUCAUAUGGCUGGAACUGCUGUAUCCAUGGAAAGAAAGUUUGGGCCAUGACUCAGGAGCAUCUUGGGAGCAUUCUUAAAGCCAAGGAGGGUUAUCCCAGAAGCUGCUGGCUGAUUAGCUGUUUUCUAGCACCCGACGCUAGCUCAUUCCCAUGCUUUGGCUCGUGCUGUUUCCUUCCUGCUUUAAAAAUGUUGUGUGUUUAGGGGCGCCCGGAUGGCUCAGUCAGUUAAGCAUCCAACUUCGGCUCAGGUUAUGAUCUCACGGUUCAUGAGUUUGAGCCCCCCCGCAUUGGUCUCGCUGCUGUCAGAGUCAGCUUUGGAUCCUCGGUCCCCUUCUGUCUGUCCCUCCCCUGCUCACACACUCUCUCUCAAAAAUAAAUAAAACAUUUAAAACAU